UACGAGUGGUGCAAGCGUUAUUCGGAAUUACUGGGCGUAAAGAGUGUGUAGGCGGUCUUGUAAGUUCUGUGUGAAAUCUCCCGGCUUAACUGGGAGGGUGCGCCGAAUACUGCAAGGCUUGAGUACUGGAGAGGAUAGCGGAAUUCCUGGUGUAGCGGUGAAAUGCGUAGAUAUCUGGAGGAACACCGGUGGCGAAGGCGGCAUCCUGGACCGGCAUUGACGCUGAUGAGCGAAAAGCCAGGGGAGCAAACGGG
rnacentral:rRNA from 1 species